GACGAACGCUGGCGGCGUGCCUAAUACAUGCAAGUAGAACGCUGAAGAGAGGAGCUUGCUCUUCUUGGAUGAGUUGCGAACGGGUGAGUAACGCGUAGGUAACCUGCCUUGUAGCGGGGGAUAACUAUUGGAAACGAUAGCUAAUACCGCAUAACAAUGGAUGACACAUGUCAUUUAUUUGAAAGGGGCAAUUGCUCCACUACAAGAUGGACCUGCGUUGUAUUAGCUAGUAGGUGAGGUAAUGGCUCACCUAGGCGACGAUACAUAGCCGACCUGAGAGGGUGAUCGGCCACACUGGGACUGAGACACGGCCCAGACUCCUACGGGAGGCAGCAGUAGGGAAUCUUCGGCAAUGGGGGGAACCCUGACCGAGCAACGCCGCGUGAGUGAAGAAGGUUUUCGGAUCGUAAAGCUCUGUUGUAAGUCAAGAACGGGUGUGAGAGUGGAAAGUUCACACUGUGACGGUAGCUUACCAGAAAGGGACGGCUAACUACGUGCCAGCAGCCGCGGUAAUACGUAGGUCCCGAGCGUUGUCCGGAUUUAUUGGGCGUAAAGCGAGCGCAGGCGCUUUGAUAAGUCUGAAGUUAAAGGCUGUGGCUCAACCAUAGUUCGCUUUGGAAACUGUCAAACUUGAGUGCAGAAGGGGAGAGUGGAAUUCCAUGUGUAGCGGUGAAAUGCGUAGAUAUAUGGAGGAACACCGGUGGCGCAAGCGGCUCUCUGGUCUGUAACUGACGCUGAGGCUCGAAAGCGUGGGGAGCGAACAAAAUUAGAUACCCUGGUAGUCCACGCCGUAAACGAUCCCUAAAAGGAGUGGAUCCUUUCCGGAAUUCAGUGCCGAAGAUAACGCAUUAAGCACUCCGCCUGGGGAGUACGACCGCAAGGUUGAAACUCAAAGGAAAUGACGGGGGCCCGCACAAGCGGUGGAGCAUGUGGUUUAAUUUGAAGCAACGCGAAGAACCUUACCAGGUCUUGACAUCCCGAUGCUAUUUCUAGAGAUAGAAAGUUACUUCGGUACAUCGGUGACAGGUGGUGCAUGGUUGUCGUCAGCUCGUGUCGUGAGAUGUUGGGUUAAGUCCCGCAACGAGCGCAACCCCUAUUGUUAGUUGCCAUUAUUCAGUUGGGCACUCUAGCGAGACUGCCGGUAAUAAACCGGAGGAAGGUGGGGAGGACGUCAAAUCAUCAUGCCCCCUAUGACCUGGGCUACACACGUGCUACAAUGGUUGGUACAACGAGUUGCGAGUCGGUGACGGCGAGCUAAUCUCUUAAAGCCAAUCUCAGUUCGGAUUGUAGGCUGCAACUCGCCUACAUGAAGUCGGAAUCGCUAGUAAUCGCGGAUCAGCACGCCGCGGUGAAUAAAAGGCCGGGCCUUGUACA
rnacentral:rRNA from 1 species